GUUCGCCGCUUAUUUUUUACUUUUAAGAACCUUAAUAAUGGGCGUUUCUUACUAGUGCCUUGUUCAAGAGUGUCAAACGGUAUCUCGGAGACGCCGCAUCUAGUCAUAGACCGUUGGCUGGCAGCGAGAGGCUACGAAAACUUCAAACGGCCGAACCGAGGGAACAAUACUGCACACGACAUGGCGAGCAAGAUAGUUUCCAACGGCUUCCAAGACACUACAGCUACUUCGAUCAUGGUUGGACUACAAGGACGAGAGGUUCCAGUGCAAGUAGGAGCAGCACUGAGAAGUGGGCCUUCAACUCCUUCAGCUGGUGCUGCAAGCCUGCUGGCACAAUUUGUGGCCCAGGUGCCAGAAUGAAAGCUG